GACGAACGCUGGCGGCGUGCUUAACACAUGCAAGUCGAAGAUAGUGGCGAACGGGUGAGUAAUACGUGGGUAACCUGCCCUCCUUUUUGGGAUAAGCCUUGGAAACGGGGUCUACUACCUAAUAAAGGGGGAUGGGCUCGCGGCCUGUCAGCUUGUUGGUGGGGUGAUGGCCUACCAAGGCGGUGCCGGGUAGCCGGCCUGAGAGGGUGAACGGCGACUUUGAGACGGAGAAAAGGCCCAGGCUACUACGGAGGGGAGAAGUGGGGACUAUUGGAGAAUGCGCGAAGGCGUGAUGCAGCGACGCCGAGUGGGGGAUUAAGGCUUUAGGGUUGUAACAGUCUUGAGCUAGCGAACGGGUAGGGGGAGAAGAAGCGCCGGCUAACUACGUGCCAGCAGCCGCGGUAAUAC
rnacentral:rRNA from 1 species